rnacentral:snRNA from 1 species
AUUGCUUCUCAGCCUUUUGGCUAAGAUCUAGUGUAGCAUCUGUUCUUAUCAUUUUAAUAUCUGAUACAUCCUCUAUCUGAGGACAUUAUAUUAAACUAGAGGCCUGGUGCACAAAUUUGUGCACCAGUAGGGUCCCUCGGCCUGCCCUGCAAGAUCGGGCCAAAACCAG